GAUGAACGCUAGCUACAGGCUUAACACAUGCAAGUCGAGGGGAAACGAUAGAGAAAGCUUGCUUUUUCUAGGCGUCGACCGGCGCACGGGUGAGUAACGCGUAUCCAACCUGCCCAUCACUUGGGGAUAACCUUGUGAAAGUAAGACUAAUACCCAAUGACGUCCAUAGAAGACAUCUGAAAGGGAUUAAAGAUUUAUCGGUGAUGGAUGGGGAUGCGUCUGAGUAGCUUGUUGGCGGGGUAACGGGCCACCAAGGCGACGAUCAGUAGGGGUUCUGAGAGGAAGGUCCCCCACAUUGGAACAGAGACACGGUCCAAACGCCUACGGGAGGCAGCAGUGAGGAAUAUUGGUCAAUGGGCGAGAGCCUGAACCAGCCAAGUAGCGUGCAGGAUGACGGCCCUAUGGGUUGUAAACUGCUUUUAUAAGGGAAUAAAGUGAGCCUCGUGAGGCUUUUUGCAUGUACCUUAUGAAUAAGGACCGGCUAAUUCCGUGCCAGCCGCCGCCGUAA
rnacentral:rRNA from 1 species